GACGUAGGGCGCGAGCGUUGUCCGGAUUUAUUGGGCGUAAGAGCUCGUAGGCGGCUUGUCACGUCGGGUGUGAAAGCCCGGGGCUUAACCCCGGGUCUGCAUUCGAUACGGGCUAGCUAGAGCGUGGUAGGGGAGAUCGGAAUUCCUGGUGUAGCGGUGAAAUGCGCAGAUAUCAGGAGGAACACCGGUGGCGAAGGCGGAUCUCUGGGCCAUUACUGACGCUGAGGAGCGAAAGCGUGGGGAGCGAACAGG
rnacentral:rRNA from 1 species